UCCUCUUCCAGGCGUGGGGGGGUGUGUGUGUGUCUCCUCUUCCACCCCGUUGGUCUCCUCUUCCAGGCGUGGGGGUGUGUGUGUGUUUUACCCCGUUGGUCUCCUCUUCCAGGCGUGGGGGGGUGUGUGUGUGUUUUACCCCGUUGGUCUCCUCUUCCAGGCGUGGGGGUGUGUGUGUGUUUUACCCCGUUGGUCUCCUCUUCCAGGCGUGGGGGUGUGUGUGUGUUUUACCCCGUUGGUCUCCUCUUCCAGGCGUGGGGGGGUGUGUGUGUGUGUUUUACCCCGUUGGUCUCCUCUUCCAGGCGUG
ensembl:lncRNA